AUUGAACGCUGGCGGCAGGCCUAACACAUGCAAGUCGAGCGGAUGAAGGGAGCUUGCUCCUGAUUCAGCGGCGGACGGGUGAGUAAUGCCUAGGAAUCUGCCUGGUAGUGGGGGAUAACGUCCGGAAACGGGCGCUAAUACCGCAUACGUCCUGAGGGAGAAAGUGGGGGAUCUUCGGACCUCACGCUAUCAGAUGAGCCUAGGUCGGAUUAGCUAGUUGGUGGGGUAAAGGCCUACCAAGGCGACGAUCCGUAACUGGUCUGAGAGGAUGAUCAGUCACACUGGAACUGAGACACGGUCCAGACUCCUACGGGAGGCAGCAGUGGGGAAUAUUGGACAAUGGGCGAAAGCCUGAUCCAGCCAUGCCGCGUGUGUGAAGAAGGUCUUCGGAUUGUAAAGCACUUUAAGUUGGGAGGAAGGGCAGUAAGUUAAUACCUUGCUGUUUUGACGUUACCAACAGAAUAAGCACCGGCUAACUUCGUG
rnacentral:rRNA from 1 species